rnacentral:tRNA from 1 species
GGGCCUGUAGCUUAGUGGCAGAGCACUGCAUUCGCAUUGCAGGGAUAUGGGUUCGAUUCCCAUCAGGUCCA